rnacentral:rRNA from 1 species
UACGUAGGCAGCAAGCGUUGUUCGGAGUUACUGGGCGUAAAGGGUGUGUAGGCGGUCUUCUAAGUUUGGUGUGAAAUCUCCCGGCUCAACUGGGAGGGUGCGCCGAAAACUGGGAGGCUAGAGUGCGGGAUGGGAGAGUGGAAUUCCUGGUGUAGCGGUGAAAUGCGUAGAGAUCAGGAGGAACACCUGUUGUGUAGACAGCUUACUGGACGAUAACUGACGCUGAGGCACGAAAGCGUGGGUAGCAAACAGG